rnacentral:lncRNA from 1 species
GUGGAGGGGGAAGUGAAGGAUCUUUGGAUUCAGGAUGGAGGCUCAAGCUCAAAACCAGGCUGCUGGGGAGCGUGGAACCAGGAGCUUUAUUUCUGCCGCCUGAGAGAGGCUUCCUUCCUAGGACACAGCCCUGUGCAUGGACAGGUGAAAGCGGUGGAGAAGCCCAGUCCACGUGACAAGCUGUCUCACCUAUCAAACCCCUGCUCACAGCAGGAGCUUGAACAAAUACCACUGAGUCAGCCCCUGCUCCAAAUAAAUGAUGUGAGUUCUGCGGUUUCUGCUAGAAAUGUAUGGAUCUCCAGGAAAUGAUCAUAUACCGUGUGGCUCUACUAUUCCUGCCCUAGAGGCCAUUGCCCCGUGCUGGGUUGACGUGGUUUCUGUCUGCACAGCCUCCCUGCCUUUGGGGAGCCCUCCUCUCCUCUUCUGUGUGGCUCUGGUGAGAUUGAGUCCUAGUAGCUCCUCAUCUGGCUGCAUAUGCACCAUAUGUAAGGUGGCUUGCAAUAAAACUUUUUUCCCUUUGUUUUCA